GCUGGCUGUGUGCCUAAUACAUGCAUGUCGAGCGAGGUUCUUUUGAACCUAGCGGCGAAUGGGUGAGUAACACGUACUUAAUCUACCCUUUAGAUUGGAAUACCCAAUGGAAACAUUGGCUAAUGCCGGAUACGCAUGAAAUCGCAUGAUUUCAAUGUGAAAGGAGCCCUUAAAGCUCCACUAAAGGAUGAGGGUGCGGAACAUUAGUUAGUUGGUAGGGUAAUGGCCUACCAAGACUAUGAUGUUUAGCCGGGUCGAGAGACUGAACGGCCACAUUGGGACUGAGAUACGGCCCAAACUCCUACGGGAGGCAGCAGUAGGGAAUAUUCCACAAUGAGCGAAAGCUUGAUGGAGCGACACAGCGUGCACGAUGAAGGUCUUCGGAUUGUAAAGUGCUGUUAUAGGGAAAGAACACUUGGUUGAGGAAAUGCUUCCAAGCUGACGGUACCCUGUCAGAAAGCGAUGGCUAACUAUGUGCCAGCAGCCGCGGUAAUACAUAGGUCGCAAGCGUUAUCCGGAAUUAUUGGGCGUAAAGCGUUCGUAGGCUGUUUAUUAAGUCUGGAGUCAAAUACCAGGGCUCAACCCUGGCUCGCUUUGGAUACUGGUAAACUAGAGUUAGAUAGAGGUAAGCGGAAUUCCAUGUGAAGCGGUGAAAUGCGUAGAUAUAUGGAAGAACACCAAAGGCGAAGGCAGCUUACUGGGUCUAUACUGACGCUGAGGGACGAAAGCGUGGGGAGCAAACAGGAUUAGAUACCCUGGUAGUCCACGCCGUAAACGAUGAUCAUUAGUCGGUGGAGAAUUCACUGACGCAGCUAACGCAUUAAAUGAUCCGCCUGAGUAGUAUGCUCGCAAGAGUGAAACUUAAAGGAAUUGACGGGGACCCGCACAAGCGGUGGAGCAUGUGGUUUAAUUUGAAGAUACGCGGAGAACCUUACCCACUCUUGACAUCCUUCGCAAUGCUAUAGAGAUAUAGCGGAGGUUAACGGAGUGACAGAUGGUGCAUGGUUGUCGUCAGCUCGUGUCGUGAGAUGUUUGGUCAAGUCCUGCAACGAGCGCAACCCCUAUCUUUAGUUACUAACGAGUCAUGUCGAGGACUCUAGAGAUACUGCCUGGGUAACUGGGAGGAAGGUGGGGAUGACGUCAAAUCAUCAUGCCUCUUACGAGUGGGGCAACACACGUGCUACAAUGGUCGGUACAAAGAGAAGCAAUAUGGCGACAUGGAGCAAAUCUCAAAAAGCCGAUCUCAGUUCGGAUUGGAGUCUGCAAUUCGACUCCAUGAAGUCGGAAUCGCUAGUAAUCGCAGAUCAGCUACGCUGCGGUGAAUACGUUCUCGGGUCUUGUACACACCGCCCGUCACACCAUGGGAGCUGGUAAUACCCAAAGUCGGUUAGCUAACCUCGGAGGCGACCGCCUAAGGUAGGACUGGUGACUGGGGUGAAGUCGUAACAAGGUAUCCCUACGAGAAC
rnacentral:rRNA from 2 species